rnacentral:rRNA from 6 species
CGGAUGCGAUCAUACCAGCGCUACA